AGUGAACGCUGGCGGUAGGCCUAACACAUGCAAGUCGAACGGCAGCACAGUAAGAGCUUGCUCUUACGGGUGGCGAGUGGCGGACGGGUGAGGAAUACAUCGGAAUCUACUUUUUCGUGGGGGAUAACGUAGGGAAAGUUACGCUAAUACCGCAUACGACCUACGGGUGAAAGCGGGGGAAAUUCGGACCUUGCGCGAUUGAAUGAGCGGAUGUCGGAUUAGCUAGUUGGCGGGGUAAAGGCCCACCAAGGCGACGAUACGUAGCUGGUCUGGGAGGCUGAUCGGCCACACUAGAACUUAGACACGGUCCAGACUCCUACGGUAGGCAGCAGUCGCGAAUAUUGGACAAUGGUCGCAAGCCUGAUCCAGCCAUACCGCGUGGGUGAAGAAGGCCUUCGGUUUGUAAAGCCCUUUUGUUGGUAAAGAAAAGCAUCAGCUUAAUACCCCGCUGUUCUGACGGUACCCAAUGAAUAAGCACCGGCUAACUUCGUG
rnacentral:rRNA from 1 species